UCGAGGGAAUUACUUCUUGCUCUGAAAACAUGGUCCCGCGCCGGGGUGGUUCCCCAUUUACCUGACAAGGUGAGGAGGCCGUAUCGUGGCUGCAGAGCCUGCGCGAAGCUAAAGGCUAAGCGUCUGGCGAAGAAGUGGCGAUUUAAGCCAGCACCUUCUGUGAUUAUGGGUAAUGUGAACUCACUACCGAAUAAGAUCGACGAACUUGCUGCGCUGGUGGAAAACAUCAAGACCUACAGAGAGUGCAGUCUGUUGUGCUUCUCUGAAACAUGGCUCACGUCUAGCAUGCUCGGAUGCUAACGUGGAGCUAGCCGGUUUCAGUACAGUCAGAGCGGACAGAGACACGAAAGCCCACUGGAAGCGGAAAGGAGGAGGACUCGCUUUAUAUGUAAACACAAGCUGGUGUAACCCUGGGCAUGUGAACAUCAAAAUCUCCAGCUGCUGCAGGGCUGUAGUCCCUACUACCUGUUCAGAGAGUUUGGACACGCCAUUGUUGUCAUUUUACAUUCCACCACGUGUAGACGCGGAGGUAGCAGCGACACCACCCACUGUUGCUAAACUACAAACACAGAACUCGGAGGCGCUUGUGUUAAUCUCUGGGGACUUCAGCCAUGUGAUAUUGGACAAGACACUACCUGCUUUCUACCAGUAUGUGGACUGUAACACCAGGGGAAAUAGGACUAUUGACCUACUGUAUGCUAACGUAACGGACGCAUACAGCGCUACCCCGCUGCUUGCACUGGGGAAAGCAGAUCACAACCUCAUUCUGCUGCAGCCUCACUACAAACCAAGAGUGUGGAAGCUAUCCACAACCACACGCUCAUUCAGGAAGUGGUCUCCUGAGGCAGAGCAGGCUCUGAGGGACUGUUUUGGAACCACAGACUAGGAUGCACUGCAGGGGUCACACAGUGAGAACCUCCAGGGGUCACCACUUCGUCGACGACAUCGUCCACAAUCGUAGAGACAUGGUCCAUGAUCGGAGAGACAUUGUUGAGGAUGAGGGAGACAUCGUCCUCGAUCAGAGACAUUGUCCACGAUCGCAGAGACCUUGUCAAAGAUGAGAGAGACGUUGUCCAUGGUCAGAGACAUUGUCCCAUGCUUCGUAGAGACCUUGCGAUAGAAUCGGCGGAGACGGGGGUCACCGAUUUGACGGCAUUGCCCGCGAUCAUGGAGACAUUGUCGAUGAUCACAGAGACACCGUCUAUGAUCUCAGAGACAUCGUCCACGAUCGAAAAGACAUUGGCUAUGAUCACAGAGACUUUGUCCAUAAUCUCAGAGACAUUGUCCGCGAUCACAGAGACGUAGUCCACGAUCAUAGAGUGUCUUCUACAAUGAAGAAGUUCUUUGAGAACAGGACAGAGGCCUCCAGGUGUCACCACUUCAUCCACGACAUCGUCCACGAUCGCAGAGACAUGGCCCAUGAUCGGAGAGACAUUGUUGAGGAUGAGGGAGACAUCGUCCUCGAUCAGAGACAUUGUCCACGAUCGCUGAGACCUUGUCAAAGAUGAGAGAGACGUUGUCCAUGGUCAGAGACAUUGUCCCAUGCUUCGUAGAGACCUUGCGAUAGAAUCGGCGGAGACGGGGGUCACCGAUUUGACGGCAUUGCCCGCGAUCAUGGAGACAUUGUCGAUGAUCACAGAGACACCGUCUAUGAUCUCAGAGACAUCGUCCACGAUCGCAAAGACAGUGACCAUGAUCACAGAGACUUUGUCCAUAAUCUCAGAGACAUUGUCCGCGAUCACAGAGACGUAGUCCACGAUCAUAGAGUGUCUUCUACAAUGAAGAAGUUCUUUGAGACCAGGACAGAGGCCUCCAGGUGUCACCACUUCAUCCACGACAUCGUCCACGAUCGCAGAGACAUGGCCCAUGAUCGGAGAGACAUUGUUGAGGAUGAGGGAGACAUCGUCCUCGAUCAGAGACAUUGUCCACGAUCGCUGAGACCUUGUCAAAGAUGAGAGAGACGUUGUCCAUGGUCAGAGACAUUGUCCCAUGCUUCGUAGAGACCUUGCGAUAGAAUCGGCGGAGACGGGGGUCACCGAUUUGACGGCAUUGCCCGCGAUCAUGGAGACAUUGUCGAUGAUCACAGAGACACCGUCUAUGAUCUCAGAGACAUCGUCCACGAUCGCAAAGACAGUGACCAUGAUCACAGAGACUUUGUCCAUAAUCUCAGAGACAUUGUCCGCGAUCACAGAGACAUCGUCCACGAUCAUAGAGUGUCUUCUACAAUGAAGAAGUUCUUUGAGACCAGGACAGAGGCCUCCAGGUGUCACCACUUCGUCCACGACAUCGUCCACGAUCGCAGAGACAUGGUCCAUGAUCGGAGAGACAUUGUUGAGGAUGAGGGAGACAUUGUCCACGAUCGCAGAGACCUUGUCAAAGAUGAGAGAGACGUUGUGUCUUCUACAAUGAAGAAGUUCUUUGAGACCAGGACAGAGGCAUCCAGGUAAUUCACAACAGAUGUAAAAAAUGUCAAAAAAUCAUGGUUGAGUGUGGUAUUAAAAAUCAUAAAAGUCUAAAUAAAACUUGUAUGGUAAAACAUAAACAUGUCAUAGUAUACU